AACGAACGCUGGCGGCAUGCUUAACACAUGCAAGUCGAACGCGGUUCUUCGGGACCGAGUGGCGCACGGGUGAGUAGCGCGUGGGAACCUGCCCUCUUGUGGGGGAUAACCGAGGGAAACCUCGGCUAAUACCGCAUAAGCCGGAGAGAUCCGGGAAAGAUUUAUCGCGAGAGGAGGGGCCCGCGUCGGAUUAGCUUGUUGGUGGGGUAACGGGCCUACCAAGGCGAUGAUCCGUAGCUGGUCUGAGAGGAUGAUCAGCCACACUGGGACUGAGACACGGCCAGACUCCUACGGGAGGCAGCAGUGGGGAAUAUUGGACAAUGGGCGCAAGCCUGAUCCAGCAAUGCCGCGUGAGUGAGGAAGGCCUUAGGGUUGUAAAGCUCUUUCACCCGCGACGAUGAUGACGGUAGCGGGAAGAAGAAG
rnacentral:rRNA from 1 species